UACAGGGGGGGCAAGCGUUGUUCGGAAUUACUGGGCGUAAAGGGUCUGUAGGUGGCCAACUAAGUCAGACGUGAAAUCCCUCAGCUUAACUGGGGAACUGCGUCUGAUACUGGAUGGCUUGAGUGUGGGAGAGGAAUGCGGAAUUCCAGGUGUAGCGGUGAAAUGCGUAGAUAUCGGAAGGAACACCAGUGGCGAAAGCGGCUUCCUGGUCCAGCACCGACGUUCAGGCACGAAAGCGUGGGGAGCAAACAGG
rnacentral:rRNA from 1 species